AGCGAACGCUGGCGGCAUGCCUAACACAUGCAAGUCGAACGAGGCCUUCGGGUCUAGUGGCGCACGGGUGCGUAACGCGUGGGAACCUGCCCUUAGGUUCGGAAUAACUCCCCGAAAGGGGUGCUAAUACCGGAUAAUGUCUUCGGACCAAAGAUUUAUCGCCUUUGGAUGGGCCCGCGUUGGAUUAGCUAGUUGGUAGGGUAAAAGCCUACCAAGGCGACGAUCCAUAGCUGGUCUGAGAGGAUGAUCAGCCACACUGGGACUGAGACACGGCCCAGACUCCUACGGGAGGCAGCAGUGGGGAAUAUUGGACAAUGGGCGAAAGCCUGAUCCAGCAAUGCCGCGUGAGUGAUGAAGGCCUUAGGGUUGUAAAGCUCUUUUACCCGGGAUGAUAAUGACAGUACCGGGAGAAUAAGCUCCGGCUAACUCCGUG
rnacentral:rRNA from 1 species